GCCAGCGUGGCAUAGUGCUUUGUGCGCUGGACUAUGACUCUGGAGACCUGGGUUCAAAUCCCCGCUUGGCC